GUAUCCUGGCUCAGGAUGAACGCUAGCGGCAGGCCUAACACAUGCAAGUCGAGGGGCAUCGGGAUUGAAGCUUGCUUCAAUUGCCGGCGACCGGCGCACGGGUGCGUAACGCGUAUGUAACCUACCUAUAACAGGGGCAUAACACUGAGAAAUUGGUACUAAUUCCCCAUAAUAUUCGGAGAGGCACCUCUCCGGGUUGAAAACUCCGGUGGUUAUAGAUGGACAUGCGUUGUAUUAGCUAGUUGGUG
rnacentral:rRNA from 1 species